rnacentral:rRNA from 1 species
GGAGGAGGCAAGCGUUGUUCGGAAUCACUGGGCUUAAAGCGUGCGUAGGCGGGAAAGCAGGUGUCGUGUGAAAUCCCUCGGGCUCAACCGAGGAACUGCUCGGCAAACCGCUUUUCUUGAGGCUAGCAGAGGGACCCGGAACCUUGGGUGGAGCGGUGAAAUGCGUAGAUAUCCAAGGGAACGCCAGUGGCGAAAGCGGGGUCCUGGGCUAGUUCUGACGCUGAGGCACGAAAGCGUGGGUAGCAAACAGGAUUAGAUACCCUGGUAGUCCACGCCGUAAACGAUGCGCACUAGGUAUCAGCGCCUCUGACGGGGUUGGUGCCGCAGCGAAAGCAUUAAGUGCGCCGCCUGGGGAGUACGGCCGCAAGGCUA